AAUAUAAAUCAUUCUACUCUAAAGACACAUGCACACGUAUGUUUAUGGAAGCACUGUUCACAAUAGCACAGACCCACUGUCUUGUUAUCUAUUAUUGUAUUAGAAAGUACCUGAUAAAAGUUUAUAACAGAAAUGGUGUUAGGCAUGAAAUCAGGAGAACUACAGAGGUUUAAUGACUCUGAUAGAUACACUGGUAUAUGUAUAUCAAGUGAAUGAAAAUAUUAAGCCAAAAAAUGAAUGAGGGAUAAGAUAUUCAAGUGACAUUGGUACCCAGCACAACAGAAUAUAAUUGAGGAAAUACUUCAUUUACAUUUUUAAAAACAUAAUGGUAAUUGCAAUAACAAAGGCUGAGUUAUAAAUCUCUUGUGUCCUUUAGGACAUAUAAUUCCUUUGCUAUGCCAUAUAAUAAUGGGGCAUACCGUGUGGCAUGAUAAGAUUUAAAAAAUGAACCUUGUCAGCUGUACGAUAUAUAAUUUUAUUUCUAUGAGAACAUCCAAAAUAUUUAAUCUGGUAUUCCAAGUAAAAUUUAUGUUCAAAUUUUAUUUUUAUCAUAUAUGUCUAAGAAAUUUUAAAAUAACAAUUUAAAUGAAAUUUUGACCGCAAUUUGUAAAUAUCUGCACUCUAAUUAUCUUUACAAAUGAGCUACACUACUUUACUUACUACCAAGGCUAAUUACAAGGUAGUAUACAAUAUUCUGUUCCUUAGAGUCUAUUUCAAUAUGUUGUCUCCAAUUAGUUCAGUUUAUUUGAAAAUAUGGUGUAAAAAAAAGAUAAAAAUUUUCUUUUAAAAUGUAAGAUUUAUUUCAAUGUCAGAACAUUAUUUUUGACUUCGGAAUAAUAUUUUUGAAGUAGUGCCUUGUAGGUGCAUUUUUCUGGCUUCUCAAACUCAUCUAAAGUUUCUGAGACAGACAUAUAGACUAAGUAAUUUAGCAAACAGUACAAUCUAUAAUUUAAAGAUAUGGAAAUUCAUUAUAUUUUAGUUGCAAUACAAUUGUAAGUAUAUUUCUAUAAUAACUUGUUGGCGUACAUUAAUUUAAAAAUAGUUUUGGUAUUCACCAUGGAAAUGUCUACCUGAACCUUGUUUAAUCUUUAUAAAAGUCGGUAAUUAUAGAAUCUCUGCUUCAGAAAACCACCCAAGCUCCAGUUCUUUGUCUAUCAAUUUUUGUGAAAAAAAAUGUUUAUUGAAAAUAGUGGUGUUUUCAUAGUCGAAUAAACAACUAAGAAAACAACAAAAA
rnacentral:lncRNA from 10 species